GCGGUAGUUCAGCUGGUUAGAAUACCGGCCUGUCACGCCGGGGGUCGCGGGUUCGAGUCCC
rnacentral:tRNA from 1 species